rnacentral:rRNA from 1 species
UACGUAGGGGGCUAGCGUUAUCCGGAUUUACUGGGCGUAAAGGGUGCGUAGGUGGUUUUUUAAGUCAGGAGUGAAAGGCUACGGCUCAACCGUAGUAAGCUCUUGAAACUGGAAAACUUGAGUGCAGGAGAGGAAAGUGGAAUUCCUAGUGUAGCGGUGAAAUGCGUAGAUAUUAGGAGGAACACCAGUAGCGAAGGCGGCUUUCUGGACUGUAACUGACACUGAGGCACGAAAGCGUGGGGAGCAAACA